GAUGAACGCUAGCGAUAGGCUUAACACAUGCAAGUCGAGGGGCAGCACAAGGUAGCUUGCUAUCUGGGUGGCGACCGGCGCACGGGUGCGUAACGCGUAUGCAACUUGCCCUAUACAGGAGGAUAACCCGUCGAAAGACGGACUAAUACUGCGUAUGCUCACAACUUGGCAUCAAGUGGUGAGGAAAGAAAUUCGGUAUAGGAUAGGCAUGCGUCCCAUUAGCUUGUUGGUGAGGUAACGGCUCACCAAGGCAACGAUGGGUAGGGGAACUGAGAGGUUUAUCCCCCACACUGGUACUGAGACACGGACCAGACUCCUACGGGGGGCAGCAGUGAGGAAUAUUGGUCAAUGGGCGCGAGCCUGAACCAGCCAAGUCGCGUGAAGGAUGACUGUCUUAUGGAUUGUAAACUUCUUUUAUACGGGAAUAACAAGAGUCACGUGUGACUCCCUGCAUGUACCGUAUGAAUAAGCAUCGGCUAACUCCGUG
rnacentral:rRNA from 1 species